CCACGCAUAAAGCUGGUAAAGGGAUUUCAAGACGCAUCGAGUCGGUUGCAUCUCUAAAAGAGGUUCCCGGUCGAAAGUUGAAAAAAGCUGGUAACGAUAUUCCUCCAACGACGUCCGGGACAAAAUCUCAAAUUAUGAUGCGUCUUGAGAAAAUGGUGAAUGAGUCCGAUAUUAUGCAAGGGGCCAUUCGUACUAUAGAUUUUGAUGAAGGUGUUUUCGGAGCUGCUCAUUUCGAAAUAAUUGCAAAGGAGGACAUGCAACAACUUUUUGAACACGACGAAUUGGGCAUCGCUGUCAUUCAUACAUACAUAUGGUAUAUGUAUGUAACAUUGCUGCGGGG